rnacentral:lncRNA from 1 species
GUGCAACAAAGUGGCCCAAUCCCUUUUGUAGCAAGGGACAAGCCUGGACAAACUCUUAUAGGAGGUAAAGCGCUCCUUAGAACACAUGAGAAUUUCUGUCAAGCUAGUUUUCAUCAUGUUCAUAUGAUUCGCGUUCGCUACUUUGAUAGUUUGAUAUGUGGGUGGACCGGUGCUUGGGUGCUGCCCUUACUUGGACAAACCUCCCACGUAUGAUUAGCCC